rnacentral:SRP_RNA from 2 species
GCUGGGUGUGGUGGCGGGCACCUGUAAUCCCAGCCACUUGGUAGGCUGAGGCAGAAGAAUUGCUUGAGCCCAGGAGGUGGAGGUUGCAGUGAGCCGAGAUGGUGCCAUUGCACUCCAGCCUGGGCGAUAGAGCGAGACUCUGUCUCAA